UACUCAGUGACUGAAUAUUUCAUUCAUGAGAACUCUGGAGGGAGUGGUAUACAUUUUUAAUCUGUAGUUUUUUUUUUUGCUUCAAGAGGGUGUGCAGUUUUAUGAUUGACAGACGACUGUCGCAGUGGAUUCUGGGAACGUUUAUCUAGGUUCCUCCGUGUUAGCUUUAGCAUUUACUCAACAUUUGUUUUCUGUUCUGCUGUGGUGCUGAAAACUCUUUUAACACGCUGUCUGGGAGUUUUCUAUUAUCUUAUAUCCGCUGCAGUCUAGACUGUCAAUCUCACAUCACUUCAUCGCUUUAGGCCCGAAAGACAAAUCAGGAGGAGCGCCCAGAUAUGCAACUCAUCUGAUAAGAGCGGCGACUUUCCUGUCCUGAGUGAAGCCAAGUGUGGACUUUAGGGAGAGGUGGGAGCUCCUGCAACGUGAAGGGAAACUCCAGAUAUUGGGUUACUCUGCUCUCAGCUCCAGAUCAAGACAGGAAAGAAAUUCCUGGACUUUUGACUUCUGUGGUCGGCAGCAUCCUGAGCGAGAGUGACGUAACAUUGAAGGGCCCUCACGCAUAAGGUUCUUUCCUUUUGUUAAGGCUGCAAACCGCAUUCAUGUGGCUACUUUUAAAUAUUGUCAACCUUUUGGACUAGUACUUAGGGUCUUUCCCUCUUUGACAUUGUAUCUAGAUUUUUUUCUUACAGGUUGAAAAUUAGAAAAAUAAGACAAAUUUGAUCUCAAAAGACUCAAAGUGGUCUUCAAAGUGUCUCAAACUCAUCACAAUUUCCCCUGGGUUUUGUACAACUUUUAUAUAUGAGGAAAAAGUUACCCACACAGGAUUUCUUUAAAAUAAAUAUAAAUGGUGCAUA